AGAGCGAACGCUGGCGGCAGGCCUAACACAUGCAAGUCGAGCGCCCCGCAAGGGGAGCGGCAGACGGGAGAGUAACACGUGGGAACGUACCCUUUGGUUCGGAACAACACAGGGAAACUUGUGCUAAUACCGGAUAAGCCCUUACGGGGAAAGAUUUAUUGCCAAAGGAUCGGCCCGCGUCUGAUUAGCUUGUUGGUGAGGUAACGGCUCACCAAGGCUACGAUCAGUAGCUGGUCUGAGAGGAUGAUCAGCCUCACUGGGACUGAGACACGGCCCAGACUCCUACGGGAGGCAGCAGUGGGGAAUAUUGGACAAUGGCGCAAGCCUGAUCCAGCCAUGCCGCGUGGAUGAUGAAGGCCUUAGGGUUGUAAAGUCUUUAACGGGGAAGAUAAUGACGGUACCGUAGAAUAAGCCCCGGCUAACUUCGUGCCAGCAGCCGC
rnacentral:rRNA from 1 species